UUCGUUACGUUAGCGGCGGACGGGUGAGUAACACGUGGGUAACCUACCUAUAAGACUGGGAUAACUUCGGGAAACCGGAGCUAAUACCGGAUAAUAUUUCGAACCGCAUGGUUCGAUAGUGAAAGGUGGUUUUGCUAUCACUUAUAGAUGGACCCGCGCCGUAUUAGCUAGUUGGUAAGGUAACGGCUUACCAAGGCGACGAUACGUAGCCGACCUGAGAGGGUGAUCGGCCACACUGGAACUGAGACACGGUCCAGACUCCUACGGGAGGCAGCAGCU
rnacentral:rRNA from 1 species